GACGAACCGUGCGAACGUUGUUCGGAAUCACUGGGCUUAAAGGGCGCGUAGGCGGGUUCGCAAGUCUGUGGUGAAAGCCUCCAGCUUAACUGGAGAAGUGCCAUGGAUACUGCGCAUCUUGAGGAGGGUAGGGGCGUCUGGAACGGUCGGUGGAGCGGUGAAAUGCGUAGAUAUCGCUUGGAACGCCAAAGGUGAAAACAGGUUGCUGGGGUUGUGCCGACGCUGAGACACGAAAGCCAGGGGAGCAAACGGG
rnacentral:rRNA from 1 species